UACGUAGGGUGCAAGCGUUAUCCGGAAUUAUUGGGCGUAAAGAGCUCGUAGGCGGUUUUGUCGCGUCUGCUGUGAAAACCGGAGGCUCAACCUCCGGCCUGCAGUGGGUACGGGCAAACUAGAGUGCGGUAGGGGAGAUUGGAAUUCCUGGUGUAGCGGUGAAAUGCGCAGAUAUCAGGAGGAACACCGGUGGCGAAGGCGGCAUCCUGGACCAAUAUUGACGCUGAGGAGCGAAAGCCAGGGGAGCAAACGGG
rnacentral:rRNA from 1 species